UUUAAUUUAUUAUACGGCGUAGCGAAAGCAAAAUUGUGCGAUGUAUUUUUUUAACAGGAAUACUGCAGCACGGGCUGAUUAUGAAUAUACGCAGAGUCCUAGAUUGUGCGUAUACUCAAAUUUUUUUUUCGAAAUUUAUUUGAGAUUAAUCAAGCUAAAGAGCACUUUAGUUGAGACCCGAAAGAUGGUGAACUAUGCUCGGACAUGGUGAAGCCAGGUGAAAACUUGGUGGAAGCUUGCGUUGUGCGGAACUGACGUGCAAAUCGUUGCCGCCUGACCUGAGUAUAGGGGCGAAAGACUCAUCGAACCAUCUAGUAGCUGGUUCCCUCCGAAGUUUCCCUCAGGAUAGCUCGAAUUUAUUAUGAGUAACACAAGGGUAAAGCAAUGAGACGCGGUAUCUGUGGGUCUUAUUUAAAUGACCUCGGCCUUCUCUCAAACUUUAAAUCUGUGCGAUUACGUGUGCUUACUUUGAAUGUAUACAUUUCGGUAUAUGCAGUGAAGCCACGCAUUUUUUAUAUUGUAUCAAAAAUUCGUAGUGGGCCAUUUCUGGUAAGCAGAACUGGCGAUGA
rnacentral:rRNA from 1 species